rnacentral:rRNA from 1 species
AGAGUUUGAUCCUGGCUCAGAACGAACGCUGGCGGCGUGGAUAAGACAUGCAAGUCGAACGAGACAAGAGCUUAGCUUGCUUUGCUUGAGUUAAGUGGCGAACGGGUGAGUAACACGUGAGCAACCUGCCCAGAAGCAGGGGAUAGCCCACCGAAAGGUGGAUUAAUACCGUAUGUGAUUGUCGGGGGAUUCCCCGACGUAUCAAAGGUGGGGAUCUUCGGACCUGCCGCUUCUGGAUGGGCUCGCGGCCUAUCAGCUUGUUGGUGAGGUAACGGCUCACCAAGGCUACGACGGGUAGCUGGUCUGAGAGGAUGAUCAGUCACACUGGAACUGAGACACGGUCCAGACACCUACGGGUGGCAGCAGUCGAGAAUCAUUCGCAAUGGGGGAAACCCUGACGGUGCGACGCCGCGUGGAGGAUGACGGCCCUAGGGUUGUAAACUCCUGUCAUCGGGGAGUAAGGCUCAUUGUUUAAUAGAUGAUGAGAUUGAUAGUACCCGAAGAGGAAGAGACGGCUAACUCUGUGCCAGCAGCCGCGGUAAUACAGAGGUCUCAAGCGUUGUUCGGAAUCACUGGGCGUAAAGCGUAUGUAGGCUGUACGGUAAGUCAGAUGUGAAAGCCCAGGGCUCAACCCUGGAACUGCAUCCGAUACUGCCAUACUAGAGUAGUGGAGGGGUAUAUGGAAUUCACGGUGUAGCAGUGAAAUGCGUAGAUAUCGUGAGGAACACUGGCGGCGAAAGGCGAUAUACUGGACACUUACUGACGCUGAGAUACGAAGGCUAGGGUAGCGAAAGGGAUUAGAUACCCCUGUAGUCCUAGCAGUAAACGGUGCACGUUUGGUGUGGGGCGGUUCGACCCGCUCCGUGCCGGAGCUAACGCGUUAAACGUGCCGCCUGGGGAGUACGGUCGCAAGACUAAAACUCAAAGAAAUUGACGGGGACCCGCACAAGCGGUGGAGUAUGUGGCUUAAUUCGAUGCAACGCGAAGAACCUUACCUGGGCUUGACAUGUAUGUCGUAGUUCAUCGAAAGAUGGACGUCGGUUCGGCCGGACUUACACAGGUGCUGCAUGGCUGUCGUCAGCUCGUGUCGUGAGAUGUUGGGUUAAGUCCCGCAACGAGCGCAACCCCUGUGAAUAGUUGCCAGCGCGUAAUGGCGGGGACUCUAUUCAGACUGCCGGUUUCAAACCGGAGGAAGGUGGGGAUGACGUCAAGUCAGUAUGGCCCUUACGCCCAGGGCUGCACACGUACUACAAUGCCCAGUACAAUGUGAACCGAGACCGCAAGGUGGAGGAAAUCCUUAAAGCUGGGCCCAGUUCGGAUUGGGGGCUGCAACUCGCCCCCAUGAAGUUGGAAUCGCUAGUAAUGCCGUAUCAGCUACGACGGCGUGAAUACGUUCCCGGGUCUUGUACACACCGCCCGUCACAUCAUGGAGGCCGGCCGCACCCGAAGUGCGUGCGCUAACUUUUAGAAGCAGCGCCCUAAGGUGUAGCUGGUAACUGGGAUGAAGUCGUAACAAGGUAGCCGUA